rnacentral:rRNA from 1 species
UGGGGAAUAUUGCGCAAUGGGGGGAACCCUGACGCAGCCAUGNCGCGUGAAUGAAGAAGGCCUUCGGGUUGUAAAGUUCUUUCGGUAUUGAGGAAGGUUGAUGUGUUAAUAGCACAUCAAAUUGACGUUAAAUACAGAAGAAGCACCGGCUAACUCCGUGCCAGCAGCCGCGGUAAUACGGAGGGUGCGAGCGUUAAUCGGAAUAACUGGGCGUAAAGGGCACGCAGGCGGUUAUUUAAGUGAGGUGUGAAAGCCCCGGGCUUAACCUGGGAAUUGCAUUUCAGACUGGGUAACUAGAGUACUUUAGGGAGGGGUAGAAUUCCACGUGUAGCGGUGAAAUGCGUAGAGAUGUGGAGGAAUACCGAAGGCGAAGCNAGCCCCUUGGGAAUGUACUGACGCUCAUGUGCGAAAGCGUGGGGAGCAAACAGGAUUAGAUACCCUGGUAGUCCACGCUGUAAACGCUGUCGAUUUGGGGGUUGGGGUUUAACUCUGGCGCCCGUAGCUAACGUGAUAAAUCGACCGCCUGGGGAGUACGGCCGCAAGUUA